UGACGUGGAUCUUCCGCCUAGUGGCGCAAGGGUGAGUAACACGUGGGUAAUCUACCUCAGAGACUGGGAUAACAGUUGGAAACGACUGCUAAUACCGCAUAAGCGCACGGUAUCGCAUGAUACAGUGUGAAAAACUCCGGUGGUACAAGAUGGACCCGCGUCUGAUUAGCUGGUUGGUGAGGUAACGGCCCACCAAGGCGACGAUCAGUAGCCGGUCUGAGAGGAUGAACGGCCACACUGGAACUGAGACACGGUCCAGACUCC
rnacentral:rRNA from 1 species